CCUACGGGAGGCAGCAGUGAGGAAUAUUGGUCAAUGGACGAGAGUCUGAACCAGCCAAGUAGCGUGAAGGAUGACUGCCCUAUGGGUUGUAAACUUCUUUUAUAUGGGAAUAAAAUGUUCCACGUGUGUGAUUUUGUACGUACCAUAUGAAUAAGGAUCGGCUAACUCCGUGCCAGCAGCCGCGGUAAUACGGAGGAUCCGAGCGUUAUCCGGUUUUAUUGGGUUUAAAGGGAGCGUAGGUGGGUUGGUAAGUCAGUUGUGAAAGUUUGCGGCUCAACCGUAAAAUUGCAGUUGAAACUGGCAGUCUUGAGUACAGUAGAGGUGGGCGGAAUUCGUGGUGUAGCGGUGAAAUGCUUAGAUAUCACGAAGAACACCGAGUGCGAAGGCAGCUCACUGGACUGCAACUGACACUGAGGCUCGAAAGUGUGGGUAGCAAACAGGAUUAGAUACCCGAGUAGUC
rnacentral:rRNA from 1 species